GACUCUGUAGCUCAGCUGGUGAGAGCGCUGCACCGAAAUCGCAGGCCCGCAUGUUAGAUUCCUGCCUAUAGUUG